rnacentral:rRNA from 1 species
CAGUAGCCGCGGUAAUACGAAGGGUGCAAGCGUUACUCGGAAUUACUGGGCGUAAAGCGUGCGUAGGUGGUGGUUUAAGUCCGUUGUGAAAGCCCUGGGCUCAACCUGGGAAUUGCAGUGGAUACUGGAUCACUAGAAUGUGGUAGAGGAUAGUGGAAUUUCCGGUGUAGCAGUGAAAUGCGUAGAGAUCGGAAGGAACAUCUGAGGCGAAGGCGACUAUCUGGGCCAACACUGACACUGAGGCACGAAAGCGUGGGGAGCAAACAGGAUUAGAUACCCCUGUAGUCCCUGUCUCUUAUCA